rnacentral:siRNA from 1 species
AAGGUGCAAUACUUCUCUCCCU